GCCCGGAUAGCUUAGUCGGUAGAGUGUUAGGAUUUUAACCUAAGUGUCCCGGGUUCGAGUUCCUGUUCGGGCG